GCUUGCUUCUGCUCCCCAAAAUCCUAUAAAAAGCCCAUCCUUGGUUCCGUGGGGCGCGCCAGUCCCCCGAGUGACUGAAGCGCCCGCAGGUGCCUGUGCCUGUGUAUCCCGACAAUAAACCAAAUCCUCUUGCUGAUUGCAUCCUGUGGUGUCUCAGUCUGGUCUUUGGAGUUAGAGGGUCUCCAUCCCGAAGGAAAGUUCUCCCUGAGAGCUUUUCAUUUGGUGCGCUGGCCGGGAAAGGAGAUCCUCCACCCAGGGACCACCGACCACCCACUGGGAGCCUACUUGGGAUGACUGCCAACAGCUCUUACAGGCCCUCUUAACCUCAGAAAAAAAACAAAGAGUGUUCCUAGAGGCCAGAAAGCAUGUUCUGGGAGAUGAUGGGCGUCCCACCCAGCUGCCUGAGAAAAUUGAUGCUGCAUUCCCACUUAAGAGACCAAACUGGGAUUUUAAUACAGCUGAAGUUUGUUUAUAUGGUGGAUUACAUUGAUGGAUUUUAUUAUAUUGAACCAUCGUGUGUCCCUGGAAUGAAGCCUAUGUGAUCAUGGUGAAUGAAGUUUCUGAACAGAACAGCAACAGCUCAGGCACUAAGAUCAACAGUGAAUUAAUGGGACCUCAUGAAAUUGAAAAGCUUUUGCAAGGAUAAGGAUACCAUCAAUAGGAGCCUACAGAAUGGGAAAAGAUCUUCAUCAGCCCUACAUCUCACAGAGGAUUGAUAUCCAGAAUGUAUAAAGAACUCAAGAAAGACACUGACAAACCAAAUAGCCCAACUAAAAAAAUUGGAUACAGAGCUAAAGAGAGAAUUCUCAACAGAGGACUCUCUAGAAACACUUAAAUGUUCAGCAUCCUUGGUCCUCAGGGAAAUGCAAAUCAAAAUGACUCUGAGAUUCCAUAUUUUGCCUGUCAGAAUGGCCAAGAUCAAAAAUUCAAGUGAUAGCACAUGCUGGUGAGGAUGUGGAGUAAAGGCAACACUCCUCCAUUGUUGGUGGGAAUGCAAACUCCCACAACCACUCUAGAAAACAAUGUGGUGGUUCCUUUAAAAAAAUUGGGAACAGUUCUACUCCAAGACCCAGCUAUACCACUCUUGGACAUAUAUACCCAAAAGACGCCCCACUAUACUACAAGGACACUUGCCCAACUGUGUUCACAGCAGCUUUAUUUGUAAUAGCCAGAAACUGGAAACAACCUAGAUGUCCCUGAACUGAACAAUGGAUAAAGAAAAUGUAUAUCUACCCAAUGGAAUGCUAUUCAGCAAUUAAAAACAAAGACAUCAUUAUAUUUGCAGGCAAAUGGAUGAAACUAGAAAAUAUCACUCUGAGUGAGGUAACCCUGACCCAGAAAGACAUGAAUGGUAUAUAUUCACUUGUAAGUGAACAUUAGCCACAAAGUACAGGAUACCCAUGGUAAAAAUCCAUAGACCCAAAAAACCUAAGUAAUAAGGAAGGCCUGAGGGAGGGUACCUGAAGACCACUCAGCAUGGUGAAAAAAUAGUCAUUGAAGGUGGAUGGAGAGGGAACUGGGUGGGAGAGGGGGCAAGGAGGAGAAUGGGAAUGGGGAUG
ensembl:lncRNA